UUUGAAAUGGUUGCUCAGAUACUUGAAGUCUACUAUGCAUUAUGGUCUGAAUUUUGCUAAGGCUCAAGAUGGCAUUAAAUGUGUUGGAUAUGUUGAUUCUAACUAUGCAAAUGAUAUAGAUAGUAGGAAGUCAUCUACUUCUUAUGUAUUCACUUUGUGUAAUGCUUGCAUUAGUUGGAAAUCUCAAUUGCAAAACGUUGUUGCCUUGUCUACUACUGAAUCUGAGUAUAUUGCUGCAACUGAGGCUGUGAAAGAAGCUCUUUGGCUUGAUGGAUUGCUGUCUGAAAUUAGAUACAUUGAUGAUAAACCCAUUGUUUUCUCUGAUAGUCAAUCUGCCAUUCAACUAUGCAAAAACCCUGUGUUCCAUGAUAGAACUAAGCAUAUUGCUGUUAAAUAUCACUUCAUUAGGGAUGUAGUUGAAAAAGGAGAUGUUUUGCUUGAUAAGAUUCCCUCUGAAUUCAAUCCAGCAGAUAUGGGCACCAAGUGCCUUCCAGUUGCAAAGCUGGAAUCUUGCUUGGAAACUUUGAAUAUAGGUCCUGGUUAAUUCCUUUUGAGUCUUGGUGUGAUAAGUUCAGCCUCUGUGGCUGCUUGUCUCUCCUUGUCUUUGCCUUUCUUGUGUGCAUGAUGAUGUGAGUUAUCUCAGUUCUGCCUGCUGUUGUCCUGUGUUUGUCUUCUGUUUAUGGUGCUUUGUUCUGUUUGUAUGUGCUUGCCUGGUUCUGUCUUGUUUUUCUGUCUGUUGUCUGCUUGUGUUUGUGUGUGUGUGACUUCAAUGAUAACCCUUUGGGUUUGAGAAAUUGGUGAUUACCCUGGGUUGGUCUCUGUGGUUUGAGACUGAGUUAAAUAUGCUUAAUAUUUCUCUCACCCUCUCUUGUCUUGACUUUGUGGCAGAUAAGAGUAAAAAUUGGGCUGUGAUGAUAACUCCAACUCUAUUGAUGACCCUUCCCUGGUGACAGAAUGAUCAAUGUGCCAAAGGUGGAUAUGUGAGGUUGGCCCAUUUCUCAUUCCCUUCUCCCUUUCUUUUCUUUUUGGGUCUGGGCCAACUUCAGGGCCCAGAACCGAGCCCAAUCUCCCAUCCCAGCCCAUUCCCUAACCCUAGCCCACUCACACCCCUGAUAUACCCCUCCGCGUCCUCUCUCUCUCUCACUUUCACUCAGCGCCGCUCUCUCUCCCAACCCUAACUCCGCUCUCUCUCCCUGACUCUCCAUCUUCUCCACCGCUCCACCGCCCAUCCCCUCGGUUCCUCCAUCACCAUUACUGCUGUCCAGCUCCUCCCUCUUCCCUCUAUAACUAUGGUACUCUCUCAUACGCUGGGAAUAACGUAUUAUCAAAAAGUGAAGGGCUCUGCUAUUCCUUUCAAGUGUGUUUAUUGGAUAAUACGGGAUUCCCUGACGUGGGUGGAGGUAUCAUCGGGUUUUCCUGACCAUCGGAGCCCUGUUUGGUGGUUACCUGAGAAGAUCUGAGCUGCCGGAGUUCUGACCUUGGCUCCUGCUGUUGGUAGCUCUGUUGAGAUCUGUGAAGCUGCUCCAUCGUCCUUACCUCGCCGUUGGUCAUUCAGCUGCCGGAAGGGUUGCUGAUUUAAGGGGGAAAAUCUGAGCCCCUGUGUCCCGAGAAUCUCGACUGAAAUCCAUUGAUUUUCUAUAUAUCUUGUUUUCACGCUUACUCCUUCUUUUUAUUGUGCAAUAACUACAAAAGGUAAUUGAGAAUUGGAAAUAAAGAAUGAAGUACUUACCAUCGUUGAGAUUGUAGAAUAAUUCUACAGAAAACCAUUCCAAAAUAGUAUCAAGAGAUACCCAACACACCUUACAUGCAUAUUUCCAAUAAUUGUUAGCAAUAUAAUCGACCCGAUCGAAAAUAUGCUUUAAUCAUAUAUAUGAAAAAGAAUUCAAAUUAAAUCCCUUGGUAUAACUGAAUAUUAAUGUGACUUCUGACUUGGUACCAUAUCCUGAAGUUGAAGAAAUACACAAUUAUGAUGAAGACAAGUUGGUAAAAUAAUGGAAGUUCCCCCACCUAAGUGCUUAGGUGGACCAUCUAUAAAAUCCCACUGAAUAUAUAUUUAUUCAAUUCAAGUGAAUCAUAUACUAAAACCCUUCUCUUCUCCUGCGCCCAAUUAGUUAUAUAAUGGCAGUGCCCUCGAAAGACGGCGCGUGGCUGUGGUUUGGCGUGGGUUUGGUUGGUCUGAUCCUCCUAACGACGGCCUCCACAAAUGAAGAAGCGGCGGUGAGAGGAAGGCCGCAGUGGCUGGUGGAGAAGCCGUGCGACGAGAUAUACGUUGUCGGAGAAGGUGAAACCCUACACACCAUCAGCGACAAGUGCGCCGAUCCUUACAUAGUCGAGAGGAAUCCGCAUAUUCACGACCCCGAUGAUGUUUUUCCCGGCCUUGUCAUAAAGAUUGUGCCUCUCACACUCUAAAUUAACACACACAAUAUAUAUAUAUUUAUAUGCCUGUAUUAUGCAUAUGUGUACAUGUUUAUAUAUAUAUAGAUAGAUUAGAGCGUGGAUGGUGGAUAAUUAGCUUUAAUUUGCUGAAAACCGAUUAAUAAAGCAAACUUCGGGUUAUUGUUUGAGGGUGGGUUUUUCAAAUUUACAUUAAUUUACGUACAUGUUACCUACUUCUGUACGUUUGUAUAUGUAAUAGAGGAAGAAAUUCAAAUUCAACAAUACGUAUUCCCUUUCUUAUUCUUUUUNUUUUUUUCCUUUUUUCUUUGUCAAGGUGAAGGAUGAUUUUAUGUCUUAUCUCUGUUAUUAUAUAUGUAAGUUUAACUUGGUCUUAUUUCUGCCCUUUUUAUUUUCAAUUUAUAAAUUAAAAUGUUAAUAAUUUCUCAUUCAAUGCAAUAUAUAUUCGUUUUAUUAGAACUCAUUAAUUAUAUGUGAUUGAUUAAGUGUUGGAAGUGGACAAGUGGUUUUAUUUGAGCCACUUUUUGUUGGUAAGAAAGAUAAGUUGAAAGAGUUGUUAAUUAAGUACACGUAUAUAUAUGUAUGUCAAUCUUCUUACUGAGAAUUGGGUAUCGCAAUUUCGUAAUCCAGUGCACAAUUUAUUUAUUGAUUCGGUUGUCGAUGUGUAUAACCUACGUUUAUUAAUUAUAUAUAUAUAGUUCAGCAGUCUUCUCUUGGGAUUGUGAUAGGUCAUUUUCUGUACAACAACACGCAUUUUAAUUUAUUUAUCUUUUAUAAAAUAACAAAUAAUUUAAAAUAUCGUGCUCCAUGAACCUAAAUUUGAAACUUUAACAUUAAGCAUUAACCACAUUAUCCCUAAACUAACGGCUUGAAAUUCAGUAUACCACAACUAGUGCAUGGGCCGAAAACUGCAUGCAUGUUCAAGACCUGAACCAGCGCUUACGGUUUACUGGAAAGACGAAUCGUAACUGGCCCUUGUAAUGUUCAUGGUGGGCCAGUUUCAGGCCUUGAAUCGGCAAUUUCGAGUCGGGCUGAAAAUCGGCGGUUCAAGGUUCGAACUGGCGAUUUUCGACAGUUUUUUUUUUAAAAAAAUAUUUUUAAUGUAUUGUGUAUAUUUUUCUUAUGAAAUUAUGCAUUGAAAUUAUUUAAUUCGAGAUAAAGAUACAAUAAACUAUAAUAUAAACGAAAUAAAUUAUAACACAUUUAAUUUUGGAGCCAACUUUUGAGAUAACCAUAUUGAGCAAUAGAACUCAAUAUUUGGCCAUCCGUCUUAAAAACACAAAUUUUUGCCAUUUUUUGCAAUUUCAGACUGUAUUGCCCUUCAGAAAUACAAAGUUUACAAAUUUUAGCCCUAUAACACUAAUAUUAUAAUUUGUGUCAAAAGUACCAACAAAAAGAAAAAUAAAAAAUAAGUAAUUUGGUACUUCUGGCACUAAUAUGUUAAAAUUUGUGCCAAAAGAACCAAUAGAAAAAAAAAAAGAAUAUUAGUGCCAAAAGUACCAAAAGAAAAACAAAUAAAGUAAUUUGAUAUUUUUGGCACAAAUGACAAUAUUAGUGCCAAAAGUAUCAACUACUUGUUAUUUUUUUUGUUCUCAUUAAUUAAUUUGGUAGUUUUGGCACAAAUUAUAACAUUAUAGGUCCAAAAGUACCACCCGAACCCGCGCCCAACCUGAUUCGGUCCCGCCAAAUUAAGGGCUAUACAAUCCAAAAUUGCAAAAAAUUAAAUGGUCAAACUUUUUGUCUUUAAGGUGGAGGACCAAAUAUUGAGUUUCAAUCCCCAAUAUGGCUAUAUGAGUGCAUAUUAUCUUUAAUUUUGUUUAUUUUAUUAUAUAGUUUUUCUCCAAUUUCAACUUUUUAUAUUCUAGUUUAAUUUUGUGAUUAUUAAGUACAAUUAUUUUAUUUAAUUAGGGAAUAAAUUAUUUUUUAUUAUUUAAUUUCACUUUUUAUUAAUUAAUAAUAGGUUGUAAUUUUAUUCUAUUUGCAAUAACUUUAUUAAAACUCGUUUCCACCCUCAAACAUGAUUCUUUUUCGUGGACGGAGAGAAUAAUAAAUUUUAUUUUUUAUAAAAAAUAUUAUUAAAAAAUACUCCCUCUGUCCCACUAAAAGUGGCUUGUAUUCCAUUUUGGGCCGUCCCACUAUAAGUGAUCUAUUUCCACAAAUGACAAAGUUUAACCCUUUAAAAAAGUGUGGGACCCUACCACUUUUAAUACAUUUACACAUUCUCCUUAAUUCCUGUGCCGAAAAGUUUUAAGUCACUUAUAGUGGGACGGAUGAAGUAUAUAAGAGUGGAACAUACUUACACUUAUGAGACACUGAAUCUCAUCUCCUAAAUCAGCUAUAUAGCACUUAUGCCCCCAUUUUAAUUUAGAAUCAACUUGUGAGAUAGCCAUAUUGAGCAAUCAAACUAAAUAUUUGGCCUCCCAUCUAAAAAAUACAAAUUUUGGUCAUUUUUUUACGUUUUAAGACUAUUUUGCCUUUAAUUAAGGCGGAUCGAAUUCGGGUUUGCACGUGGGUUGGAGCGGAUUGAGGCGCGGGUUAUGAUGGUACAAUUGGUACAAAAAGGGUAAAUUUAUGUCAAUUGUGUCAUUCAUUAAGUACACUUGACACAAUAACGCUAAUUUGUGCUAAAUAUGAGUGAAGAUUGAAUGAUNAAGAUCUUAUGGAUUGUAAUCGUCCUAAAUGAGAGCCUCCUAAUUCACGUAUGCAAUAGUGGAGGAUAAUAUAGUAAAUUAUAGAUUCCUAAUCGGUUAACAAUAUCUAUGUAAUUAAUAUUAAAAUUCUUUUCAUAUCUAUUCAAAUUUGUAAUGAUACUUAUUAAAUUAAAAUUCGUAAACAAAACACGAUAGCUGAAGUAACGGAUUAAUUCAUGACAUACCCUAAAUAAUGAUUGGACUGUAACACUUAUGGCAUGUGCUAAGUCUGACCUAGCGCAAAUCAUUGUAUACAUAAUGCUUCCAACAAUGUUUUAGCAUAUGGAAUCUUUGCCAUAAACUUCCUUUCUUUCUCAUCCUUUGGUUUCUGUUAAACUGUAAGCUUGAAGUGUUGUGCAAGUGGAACUUUAAUACCCUUAGACUUAUCCAUAUUGAAUCUCUUCAAUACCCUUUCUAUGUAAGACUUCUAAGAUAACCACAGUCUAUCAUUCUCCCUAUCUCUAUCAAUAUCCACACCUAGAAUUCUUUCUGCCUUCCCUAAAUCUUUCAUUUCAAACUCUAGCUGUAAGUCAAACAUUACUUUCUCAAUUUCUACUCUAUUCUUACUAGCUAUCAACAUAUCAUCUACACAAGGUAGUAAAUAUGACAUGAAACCUGUGUCACUUUUAAUAAGAUAAACACAUUUUUUCGUGCUCUUUUUGUAUGUCGUUUAGGCCUAGAUCGAGUUUUUUUUUGUGUUUUGUGUCUUUUGUGUUUGGGAGGACGCACUUUGGGCAUAAGGACAGGUGGACGAGAUCUUGGGCAAAGCAGGCUGCAUUCCGCAAAAGAUGCAAAGAUUUGAGAUCAUUCAUGGGUACAAUAGUUGUACUACUGUGCCCAGACUAAGUACCAUGCGGGAUCCAGUUGCGUUCAAAGGCACAGCGACGAGACAGGAGCAAAAUCUGGCAUUCCAGGGCAAAGCGCCAAAAACUGGUGUUCAAGGGCACAGCCGCAAGUCAGAGGUUAAGCAAAAAUUGUGCAGAAAUUUGAUGCUGACUUUGGGGCACAACCUGGCGUUCGAGGGCACAGCGGUGCACCCAUCAACAUAAGAAAAGAAGAAUGUGUAUAUCCACUUACCAUAUACAGAAGGAUCUGACCUAAUUUACUUACCAAAGUUAUGAGAUGCAUAUCUGAUUUGGGCUAAGCAAAUAAGGAAAGAAAUCUCAACAACUUGGCUGCGCCCAGAAGCCCUAAUCUGCAUGGACCUGGCCCAAAGCCCACUACCAUUCUCUAUAUAAGGAUGCAUACCCUACGCCCAGAGGACGAAUUUUGGAGAGUGGGAGUUUACCACACAUAAUUCCACACCUUAGAUUAGUUUGUUUUGUAUUUCUAUUUUCAAUGAGAGCCUAGCCAAGGAAAAAACAAGCCCUUUGGGGCACCUUUUUAUUUUAUGUAUUGUUUUUAUUUGCUUUGGGCAGAGUUGAUGCUGCCCAAAGAUCGCUUUUAUUUUUGAACAUCUAUUUCAAUUCAAGUAUGUUUAUUUCGUUUAUUAAUUUUAUGUUAUUUUAUUUAAUUAUGUCUAGGUAAUUGUUUUACUUGGUUUGGGCCAUAAUCGAAUUAUGUAUGAGCAUAUGAAAUUGUGAGGUUGUAUCUGAGCAAAGAAGUUGUGCAUGUGUGUUCCCGAAGUAUUUGGCCUGAUUCCAAUACAACUUGGGCAAACCCGGCACUUUAUCUGGCCAGUACUGCUCUGGGCACGACCAAGUUACAAGCAAUAAGUGGGCACAAGUUAGGAGACCUCCGGCUCCACAUAGUGCGACAAAUGUGGGCGAGUGGUAGUAUGUCCUCGGACAUGCUUGAUGACCAUUUGGGUCCGACAAACUUCAUGUGGGCAACCACAUGAAGCGCGCAAAUGAGCGCGUGGUAGGCUGCGCACGUGACACCAUGACAAUGGGAGCCCAGCCUGUUGAUAUUUGCCCAUAACCAAUGAUACAUAGGCACAACGACUUUCCUUGAACCUAUGAGCGAUGAUUGUGCCCAAACUUGACGAGACUAUGCCCAAACCAAGUUGCUUUUAUUUUUUAUUUUUCUUUUAUUUUAUUUCAGGUUUUUUAUUUCUAGUGCUCUAAUCAGGGCACAACCCCAAGUGUGUAAUCGUGACCGAGACAAGAGAGAAGAAUACACCAACUCCUCAUGUGAUCGAACUUAUACUUACCGCUAGAGAAACCUAGCUGUGGGCAUAGAAAAAUUACAAAUUUAUUUGCACGGAGAAUCCACCGCACAACGACAAGGCAAAGGAUUCUCUCCCGUCAAGUGGCAAAUUCAGGAUUUUUAAAUUGAGGGUGAGAAAAAUAAUUACAUUAUGAUAAAUAUAAAAAAUAUUUAAUAAUAAAAAUAAACAUACCCAAAUAUUGUUUAAUUUUGAAGUUUAUAGUUUAUUUUUAAGUUGAGUUUAUACUUUCCUUUGAGGUUAUACUUUUAAUUGGGGUGCAGAAACUAAAUCUAAAACAAUUUACAUUUAAAUAUUAGGGUUAAUUACGCGAAAAAUCAUGAACUUUGGUCGGAUUUCAAACUUUCUAUGAACUGUUUUUUUUAUCAAAAAUUCCCUGAACUUAAUCAUCUAAACAAUUUUUCCAUGACUUUUUUCUCCGGUGAAGCUCCGGGCUGACAUGGCAAUUUUUAGGCAAUACGAGCUGAUAUGACGCUUACGUGGACCAAAAAUUGCCAUAUGGAAAAUAAUAUAUAAAAAAAGUAAAUUCUUCUUCUUCUUCACGCAGAUCUUCUUCUUCCUGUUCACGGCAGCCACCGCAAGUCGCGGCUGCACCGCCGCCCCUGCUCCCCUCUCAUCUCUCUCCCUCUAUCUCACUCUGCCUCCCUCCCUCGUUUAUCUCUCUCUACGUCUCCCCCUCUAUCUCUCUAUCUCUCUCUCUUUCCCCUAUCUCUCUCUAUCCCUCGCUCGAUCCCCCCUCUCUCUCUGCUGUUGGCGGCCGCCACGGACCACCGUGACCAUCCUCUUCCCCACAACGGCGUCUACAGAGCUCUCCUUUGCUCCAAAGCAGCCCUAUGUAAUCAAAUUUACCCUACCAAUUCUUCAUGGCGAUUGAUUAGGUUUUUGCUAUCCAAUUUAAAUCGCGCUCUGCAAUCUUACAGAUGACCCCUUCGGCGACCCUAAAGUCGCAGGCGACCCUUAUUGCACUCUCUUCUUCGUUUGUCGAUGACUCGCGAUUGCGGCAGAGACGAAGAAGAUGAAUCAACUGCUACUGUGGGGUUUGGGCUUCCACAGAUCCGCCAGCUCCCAGAUGCUGUGGGGUUAGGGUUUGCGAUUGGGGAGGGUGAUUUUUGCGAUGUGGAAAUCAAUUGUUGCGACAUCACCGUUUGAGAUGGGGGAACCAACGGAGGGUGAUUUAUGGUUAGGGUUUGCGAUAAGGAGAGAUGAAUUUUUUUGGUGAGUUCGACUUCUGACACGCACCCGUCGUGCGGUGCGGGCAAAAUACUUGUGUAUGCCUAGUACAGACGAUACACGCUCCUACGUCUCACAACAAGAACUCAGUCUUAGUGGCAAGUGUAGGGUCGAAUCCCACAGGGAGUGAGGAACUACUUUGUUCUCCAACGACAAACUGAGGUGUCACAAGUCUCAAUCUAUAUACUCUGCACAAGAAAUUAACAAGAUCAAUAAUAGCAAAGGGGUGAGGUUAUUCGGUUAGGUCAUAACUGUUGUCAACAUUCUUUUCGGUCAUAGGCAUACUGAUAAUCCGUCCAUGAUCCAUAUAAACCCAAGGCGUGGCCCAAAGACAUUGGGGCUUUUCAAGGGGUUAUACUUCACAUUUAGGAUGGUUGAUCCCAUUGUGGUCACUUGGUCCGAAGGUCACACAAUCCCCGGUCACAAGGCAGUGCUUCACUCCUCCUUAGAUAGUAGUCAUACCCGUUACUCACCAAGUAUGACCCUCACCAACCUUCUCUCCGAGGUCCCCAACUCUGCACUUUGAGUGACACAUGCCUCCUGGACACAACUAUUUCCGGCUUGUCAGCCGACCAGUCAUAGACAUGCUACGGCGCAGAGAUUGCCUUCCUCGUUUGUAACAUGGUUUGCUUCAACAUUAAUCUCUAGAGCCCACUGGAAAGGAGUGUAUCCCCAACCUUUCCCUUGAUAAUUAACACCGGUUGUUGUCUAUGUCGAGUCAGCAGGUCGUGGGUUACCGGUUGUCACGCCCUGUAUACCCUGGCCUUUGCUUGACACGGACAGCGUUUUACCGAACGGAGAUCACCCGUUGGCCCCUACUGUCCAUGUUUGGCACAGAUCCUCUGGAACCACGAGAUCAACCGAAAGAACAAAUGCCUCACGAAUGUUUACAUGUUGACAACAAUUAUUUCCACCCCUAAAACCUCACCUAAGGAACUACUCACACAUAGCAGAAUUCAUAAAUGCAAAUAAUAAACACAUCAUGUAACAAAAGGAAAUACUUGAUUAAUAAAAUGUACCUACGGCCUCGAGCCUUGAAUCUUGUUCGAUUGAAAACAAACGGAAAUAGAAAAUAACUGGAAUGUAAUUGUUUAUGCCAACACGGCAGGAUAAAGUAUAACUAAAUAAAAACAGAGUUUCAAGGCCAAGAAGUUCUUUCACGCUGCACACAUCCUCCUUUUAUACUGCUGCAUGGUAAAGGUCCAACCCCCAGCUGCGCCAGCUUCAUAUCUUCAACGAGAUCUUAUUUCCUUCUUUAGCUCAAUCCGUGAUUGAUCUGAUUGAAGAUAGCUUCCAGCUGCUCGUGUAGUCAACCUUUCCCUUUCUUCCGAUGCUUCUAGCUUCUUCCUCCUUCUUCUCUUUGCUUCCUUCAAAUCCCCGAGAUUUACUUUCCUUUUCUGGAUUUGGCUGUCUGCUUCUCAUGGUAGUGGUCAGACGGAUUGCUUUCUUCGGUUUGAUUCAUACCAGGUGGAUUGCUUCAGGUUCCCAUGCCCCAAGUUAGAUUGGAGAGGUACUGCGGCCGAAGCUCCAUGCUGGUAAACAUGACAUAGCAAUCUGGGCUUGGUAAUGCCCAUUCCAACCACAUUCUUUCCGUUUCCGCUCCACUGGACCUUCCUUCCUCAACAACUUCGUUUUCCCCUGGACAGACCUGAACUGACACAAAUAAAGAGAAAAAUAGGGUCAAAUGGCCCAAAAGUCGAAGACGCAUCAACUUCCGAUGCUACUGCUGCUCGACUUCCGGUCCGACGAUGCAAUUGGGCUCAGCUGAGAGAGAGGCUCAAAACGACAUCGUUUUAAUUCCCGUCCGGCGGUGCCAUAUCAUUUUUCAGGUCACUCAAAAAUGCCAUGUCAGCACUCAAUUUGGGGAUUUUCAAAAAUUAUGGAAAAAUUGUUCAGACGAUUAAGUUCAGGGAAUUUUUGAUGAAAAAAAAAUUAUGGAAAGUUUGGAAAUCCGACCAAAGUUCAUGAUUUUUGGCGUAAUUAACCCUAAAUAUUAAUAUUAUUAAAAAAAAUGGGGGGAUGCAGUUUCACCCCCAUGUUCUUAAUGGAUCCUCCAGUGUCUCUGAGGUCUCCAUAUAAAAAUGCAGUCUUUACAUCUAACUGAUGCAGUUCUAGGUCCAGCUGGGCAACAAGAGCAAGCAGAAUUCUUAUGGAACAAUGUUUAACGACUGGGGAAAAUACCCCAUUGAAAUCAAUCCCUUCUUUCUGUGUGAAGCCUCUGUCCACAAGCCUUGCUUUGUAUCUAAUUUCUCCAGUUAACUCCACAUUUUUCUUGUAAAUCCAUUUACAAUUUAUACAAUUUUGUUUAUGUGGUCUCUCUACCAGAGUCCAUGUUUAUCAGUGACUCUAGCUCCUCUUCCAUAGCUUGAUUUGUUUUUCUUUUAUAGCUUCUGAAUAAUUCUUUGGUUCACUAUAGUCUAGUUCUUCAGCCACACUCAUUGCAUAAGAUAUCAAGUCAGCAUGAACAUAUCUUUCUGGAUGAUGAACUAACUCUAUCUUUUGCUAACUUAUAGUCUUGAAGUUCAUCUUCAGUCCCUGAAUCACCAUUUUUUGAUUGGCCUUGAUCUACUGUAGUAAUGUCAUUCCCAUCAGUAGCUUCAUUGGGUGCAUGAGACUUUAAUACCUCCACCUCAACCUGAGUAUUAUCAGUAGCUUUAUUUAUCUUUCUUUCUUUCAUUCUCAUGAUAUGGCAUUUCAUUUUCCUUGAAAAUGACAUCUUUGCUUAUUAUGGCUUUCUGUUUGCCAAGCUCUAAACACCAGAGCUUAUAUCCCUUAAUGCCCUCGAUGUAUCAUUUUAUUAAUACACUUUAAGGCUCUGGGAUCAAGUUUAUCUUGUUUUUGGUGAACAUAAGCCUUGCAGCCAAACACCUUUAGAUAGGAAUAUAGCUUGACUUAUUUCUAGUCCAUAUUUCUUCUGGUAUUUUAAAACCAAUGGCUAAAGAUAUGGCCAUUUAUUGAUCAAGUGACAUGUUGUGUGAACUACCUCUCCCCAAAACCUUUUUGGAAAUUCAAACCCUGCAAGCGUACAUCUGACCCUCUCUAAUAUAGUCAUAUUUAUUCUCUCAACAAGACCAUUUUGUUGAGGAUUUGUUGAUACAGUCAAGUAUCUUUUAAUACCUUUUUCCUUACAGAAUUUUUGGAACUCCUCUGAGAGGAACUCUAAACUGUUGUCAGUCCUCAAUAAUUUCAACUUUGUUCCAUUUUUCUUUUCAACUGUUGAGUGUCACUCCACAAAUUUUUGGAAUGCAUCAAACUUUUCUUUGAGGAUAUAGACCAAAAGCUUCCUUGAAUGAUCAUCUAUGAGUGCCAUAUAGUAUCUGUCUCCACCUAUUAUCUCUGUCCUCGAAGGGCCCCACAGAUCACAAUGGACAUAAUCCAAAACCUGCUUUGAAAUCAUGCUGCUUUGGUUGAAUGGGAUAUUCUUGUUCUUUCCCAUGAUGCAUUCCUCACAUUCAUUUAUUCUAAAUGAUUGAUGAUGUUUCAGCUUAAUUUCCUUGUUUCAGAAGAUCAUUUAAACAUUUUUCUCAAACAUGGCUAAGCCUGACAUGUCAGAUUCUUGAUUUAUCUUCUGAGCUCACUUCUAAUUCUUCCACUAUUGCUUCAUUUUGCAGAUAUAUAGUAUAGACUUUUGAAUCUGGAUCCCUUCAUGACAACUGUGGAGUUUCUCAUAACAUGUAGUGUACCAAAUCACAGAUUUGAACCAAAACCCCUUUGAUUCUAGCAUCACAAGAGAUGUCAAGUUUCUCUUAAGAUUAUGAAUAUAUCUGACAUCUUGAAGUGUUUUUACAAAUCCAUCAUGCAUUCUGAGCCUUAUGUUGCCAAUUCCUCUAAUUGCACAAAUUUGAUCAUUUCCUAGAAGUACAGACCUUUUUUCUCCAUACUCUAUGUUGCUAAACCAUUCUUUAUAUGGGCACAUGUGAAAAGAACAGUCGGAGUCUAAUAUCCACUCAUUCCAAAGAUAUUGAUCAACUAUGUUAAGCAUCUCUACAUUAUCACAGUGUUCAACAGCUUCUGCAGUGUUAGAAAGAUGAGUGUUCUGACCUUGUUUCCUUUUCCAUAAGUAGCAAUCCUUGUUUAGAUGUCCAGGCUUUUUGCAGUGGUGACAUUUCCUUGUCUCCUUCCCUUCUUGAUCCUUGACUCCACUUUGAGAUGUUUUCUUUCCAUUUGCACUAGAUUUCUUGGAUUUCUUCUUGAAUUUUUGUUCCACAUUCAAGCUUUCUCCAGUAGUAUCUGGCUUUCAUCAGAGCUUUUCAGCAACUCUUUUGCUUUCAGUGCAGAUUGCACUUUAUCCAUAGUUAUUGUUGUCUUUCUGUCAUACAACAUGGCAUCCUUCAAAUGUUCAAAGGAUCUUGGCAAGGCAUUCAAAAUGAUAAUGGCUUUGUCUUCAUACUUCAUCUUAACUCCAAUGUUUUCCAGGUCAUCAACUACCUUGUUGAAUUCAUCUAGUUGAUCUAGAAUUUCUUUUCAUCGGUUAUCUUGAAGAAAUACAGGCUUUGCUGGUGUACAAGCGGUUUGCCAAUGAUUUAGUCAUGUUGGAAACUUAAUGAAAGAUCUUAUCCCUAGUUUUGAUGAUACCACAACUCCUAGUUCUUAUUGUAAUAGACUAGAACAUUUCAAGCUUAAGUGUUAGAGUUCAUAUUUUCUAGUUAGACUGCUAAAGAUUGAAGACUGAAGUUUGAAGACCUCAACUGAAGAUAGCCGCGAUAAGACAAAGUCAGAUACUGAUGUUUUGACUGAACUAGAGUUUCACUGAAAUAUCAGUGAUAACUGAAGUGUUAAUGCGGACCACAUGGAAUUAGCGGACUGAUACUCAUGUCAAAUAUCAAUUAACAUUCUUCAUCGGACUGAAACGCUGAAACCAGCAUUAAAUUCUCCUGCAGCCGCAUCAAAUCCAGAGAUUUAGAAGAUCAUCCUUUCUUUGCAGAUAGUUCCUAUUUGGUGAAAACUUUUCAGAGGCGCCCUACCGGCUGUACCAUGAGACGCCGUCCUUCAUCAAAACAAGAACCUUGAAGAUUGUAGCCUCAGUCAAAUUCAAAUUUACUCUCACAACAGAUGAACUCUUGAAGACCAUCUCAGCCAACGAAUCUAUUCAAGUCUUUGUCUAUAAAUAGAGCUUGAGAAACACUGCAAUCUUUAUCGAUUCAAACGCACAAGCUGAACCUCUGCCAAAUUUGCAACUCAACCUUCAACUGCCUUCAAAAGUUUGAAUCGAAGAACAGAAUCCCCAAAGUCUAAAUCAGUUCACUGAUUAUCUACAUUCUCUUAUUUCCUUAGGCAAAUCCUUGUAUUACCCAAAGCCUAAGUUUUUGAUUACUUGAGAGUCUGUUCUCAGUAAUCUUAGUUGGUAGAUUUCGAACUCAUUUUCAACCGAGCGAAAAGAGUGUUUGAGUAGAGAGGAGUUCAGACCAGUGUUCUGACUCCAGUGAUCUUAGCGUGCUAAGAGCGAGUGAGAAAUCCAACUGAAAAGUGAGAAAUCCAACCUAGUGUGUUGGUACUGAAAAUUUAAUUUUCAGUUGUAAAGUUUGCUGUGCACCCGUAAGCAUUAGCCCAGAGUGUUUGUCAGACUAAUCAUCUGGCCAUGGACAUAGGAAUUUAUUUUCCGAACCACGUAAAAAUCCUUGUGUUCUUUAUCUAUUUUCAGUUAUUCCUUAUCUGCAUUAAACUUGUUUUACAACUGAACUGGCUUAACUGAAAAGUGUAACUAAGGAUUUUAUUAAGUGACAAACUGUCUAAAGGCUAUUUGAAUUAAGUUUAAAUUUCCGUUGUUGAGUUAUUAGUCUAACUAACUAAUCAACUGAUAGUCAGUAAGAUUUGUAACUCUAUUAUGUUUCACAAACUCUUGACUGAAGCCUUACGUGGAUAUUAGUUAAAGCUCUGUGUUUGACUGAAAUCAAAAUACUGAAGUUACUUCAGUAUCAGUCUACAACCACUUUACAACUGAAGUUUGGUUUGUUUGUUUUCGAUUCGACAAAAAUAACCUAUAGGUGUAUUCCCCCCCCUCCCCCAUACACUUAUUCAGUUAACCCUCCGGGACCCAACAAGUCAUAUAGAGACUUUCUAAUUUCUCCCAAACACCAACUGCAUUAGUUGUUGUCCUGGCAGGUUGUUUUCUCCCUUUAAGGCAUCAACUAAUCCAUGUUGAAUCAAGAUAGCUUUCAUCUUGAUUCUCCAAAGCUCAAAAUCAUUCUUACCUGUAAACUUUUAAGUAUCGAAUUUCACAGUUUCCAUGGCUUCUCAGAUCUAUGAUUUCUCCAUGUCCAGCGUUUCCACUGACGAUACCAAAUGUGAAUAUAAAGGAUUCACACCAAAACUCCUCAAGAACUUACUUGCGCAGAUACAACAAUGAGAAACUCAAGGAUGAUGUACCACACACAAAAUCAAUCAA
rnacentral:lncRNA from 1 species